rnacentral:rRNA from 1 species
GGGGAAUUUUCCGCAAUGGGCGAAAGCCUGACGGAGCAACGCCGCGUGAGGGAAGAAGGCCUCUGGGCUGUAAACCUCUUUUCUCAAGGAAGAAGAUCUGACGGUACUUGAGGAAUAAGCCACGGCUAAUUCCGUGCCAGCAGCCGCGGUAAGANCGGAGGAUGCAAGUGUUAUCCGGAAUCACUGGGCGUAAAGCGUCUGUAGGUGGUUUAAUAAGUCAACUGUUAAAUCUUGGAGCUCAACUUCAAAAUCGCAGUCGAAACUAUUAGACUAGAGUAUAGUAGGGGUAAAGGGAAUUUCCAGUGGAGCGGUGAAAUGCGUAGAGAUUGGAAAGAACACCGAUGGCGAAGGCACUUUACUGGGCUAUUACUGACACUCAGAGACGAAAGCUAGGGUAGCAAAUGGGAUUAGAUACCCCAGUAGUC